rnacentral:lncRNA from 1 species
CCAUUCAAUGAUCCCAUUCCCUUUCUUUCAACAAUGAUUCCAUUAGUUGCUAAUCGAUGAUCCACUUGAUUCCAUUUGACGAUGAUUCCAUUCUUGUCCAUUCGAUGAUUCCAUUUGUUUCCAUAUGAUGAUGAUUCCAUUCGAUUCCAUACGAUGAUGAUUCCAUUCGAGUCCAUUCAAUGGUGAUUCCAUUCAAUUCCAUUCGAUGAUUCCUUUUGAUUCCAUUUGAUGAUGAUGGCAUUCGAUUCCUUUCAAUCAUUCCCUUUGAUUCCACUCAAAGGUGAUUUCAUUCAAGUCCAUUCGAUAAUUGCAUUCGAUUCCAUUCUAUGAUGAUUCCAUUCGAGUCCAUUUGAUGAUUCCAUUCAAUUCAAGUCAAUGAUGAUUCCAUUCGAUUCCAUUCGAUGAUUCCAUUGGAUUCCAUUUGAUGAUGAUUCCAUUCAAAUCCAUUCGAUAAUUCAAUUCAAGUCCAUUCGAUGAUUAUUCCAAUCGAAUCCAUUCAAAGAUUACAUUCAAUCCCAUUCGAUGAUUCCCUUAGAUUCCAUUCGAUGAUUCCACUUGAUUCCAUUUACGAUGAUUCCAUUCGAUUCCAUGUGAUGAUUCCAUUCAAUUCUAUUCAAUGAUGUUUCCAUUUGAUUCCAUUCAAUGAUGAUUCCAUUCUAUUCCAUUCAAUGAUUGCAUUCAAUUCCAUUCAAUGAUUAUGCCAUUAGAGUAAAUUCAACGAUUCUAUUCAAUACCAUUCGAUGAUGAUUCCUUUUGAGUCCAUUCAAUGAUUUCAAUCAAGUCCAUUUGAUGAUUCCUUUCAAUUCCAUUCCAUGAUGAUUCCAUUCGAGUCCAUUCGAUGAUUCCAUUCGAUUACAUUCGAUGAUUCCAUUAUAUUCCAUUCAACGAUGAUUCCAUUCGAGUCCAUUCGAUGAUUCCAUUAGAGUACAUUUAAUGAUAGCUUUGUUUUCAAUUCGAAGAUGAUUACAUUGGAUUCCAUUCUAUGAUUACAUUCGAUUCCAUUCAUUGAUGAUUCCACCCAAUUCCAUUCGAUGAUGAUUCCAUUCGAUUUCAUUCAAUGAUUCUACUCGAUUCCAUUCAAUGAUGAUUCAAUUCUAUUCCGUUUGAUGAUUCCAUUAGAUUCCAUUCUAUGAUGAUUCCAUUCGAGUCCAUUCGAAGGUUCCAUUCGAUUACAUUCCAUGACGAUUCCAUUCGAGUCCAUUCGAUGAUUCCAUUUGAAUCCAUUCGACGAUGAUUCCAUUUGAUGCUAUUCGAUGAUUCCAUUGGAUUCCAUUCGAUGAUGAUUCCAUUCGACUUGAUUUGAUGAUUCUAUUUGAGUCCAUUCGGUUAUUUUAUUAGACUACAUUCGAUGAUGAUUCCAUUCGAUGCCAUUCAAUGAUUCCAUUUGAUUCCACUCAAUGAUGAUUGCAUUCGUGUCCAUUCGAUGAUUCCAUUUGGUUCCAUUUGAUGAUGAUUCCAUUCGAGUCCAUUCGAUGAUACCAUUCAAUUCCAUUCGAUGAUCAUUCCAUUCGAAUCCAUUUGAUGAUUCCACUCAAUUCCAUUUGAUGACUCCUUUCAUUCCCAUUCGAUGAUUCCCUUCAGUUCCAAUUGGAUGAUCUUUCCAUUUGAUUCA